rnacentral:tRNA from 1 species
UGAAAAAUAGCCAUUUUCCUCUGCGUUCGCAACGCAGAGGUCAAGGGUUCGAACCCCUCAUCGUCCACCA